GGUCACUCGGCUGAUCCACUCACCUUUCACUGAGAAGCUCAAACCCCACCUCCACGGGUCCAGAGGAGCAUGCCGAUAACGACGCAAUCAAGGAGGGCUGCAGCACCACCACAACCAGCAGCAGCAAGCCAUCUUGGUCACUCGGCUGAUCCACUCAGCUUUUUCCGAGAAGCUCAAACCCCACCUUCACGCGUCCCGAGGAGCAUGCCAAUAACGACGCUAGGAGGGGCUGCGGCCGCUUGAUGUGGAAAUUAUUUCUCAUCUGGGAGCUGGUGAGCGGAUACUCAGCAUGAAUUCGGUCAUAUCAAAACAUAAUAUCCUCGGAUUUUAAUCACAGUUACUCUUUUUUUUUCUUCUGAUGAACCCCAAACGCACGAAUUCGGUCAUAUCAAAACACAGUAGCCUCGUAUUUUAUUUGCAGUUAUGCUUUUUUCUUCUGAACUCAGAAUGUACUUUUGGUCUUAUUGAAAACAUAAUGGCCUCAUAUUUUAAUUUUUCAGUUACCGUUUUUCCUUAUGAACUAAAAGGGUUCAGAUUUUAAUUUUCCGAACUCAAAACACACAAAUUUGAUCUUAUCAGCUACUAAUUUUCUUAUAUACUCAAAAUGCACAGAUUCAAUCUAAUCGAAACUUCUUCCCUCUUCU
rnacentral:lncRNA from 1 species